rnacentral:rRNA from 1 species
AGUGAACGCUGGCGGCGUGCCUAAUACAUGCAAGUCGAACGGAGUGGCGCACGGGUGAGUAAUGUAUAGCUAAUCUGCCCUACACUAGAGGACAACAGUUGGAAACGACGGCUAAUACUCUAUAGUGUAGGAUGAGGCUAUAUUGUAUCAGUUAGUUGGUGAGGUAAUGGCGCACCAAGGCUAUGACGCAUAACUGGUCAGAGAGGAUGAUCAGUCGCCCUUGAACUGAGACACGGUCCGGACUCCUACGGGAUGCAGCAGUAGGGAAUAGUGCUCAAUUGGGGAAACCCUGGAGCAGCAACGCCGCGUGGAGGAUGACACUUUGCGGAGCGUAAACUCCUUUUGUUAGGGACGCGGUACCUAACGAAUAAGCACCGGCUAACUCCGUGCCAGCAGCCGCGGUAAUUC